rnacentral:sRNA from 1 species
GUCUUGGGCACAGUUUGGGUCAGGCACUUUUGUUAGCUGUCUCCUGUUAGAGCCUUCUCAACCACUGGGACUUCCUGAGUGAUGCACUAGGUGACCUGAGAGGUCAGGAUUAAACAUGUACUCCUGUAGUUGUUUUUGUCUUUUGACUUAUUGAAAGGGAAACACAUUGUAUGUUUACCUCCUUCAUUGCCUGGAGCUUGGGUGAAGAAACUGAACACCACCUGCAACUCGAGGAGGGAAAGAGAAGAGUAGUUGUGUCUACAGAUAAUAUAGGGGAGACACGUGGAGCUCCUGCCUGCCGCAGGCACGAAGAAGCAUAAUCACUCUCAUAUCUGGGGACCGGGAGACUGGCGUGCUCAUCGUUUAAGUGCAUUUGCUGUAAUCACUGCUGCCAUCAGCAGAAACAGAGCUCAAGAAAGAACCAUGUUUACAUCCGUCCUUCAUCGACCCUCACAGGACAGGGCAGUGUUGGGGUUGAAGUCCUGUGUUCUGAUCGGUGAUUCUCAUGGUGACCAAGCGAGGAAGAAGGCCCGCUCUUCCAACACCAUGGCUUCUCUUCUGGGGCACACGAGGCUCUCAGGAUUUACACACUGGGGAAGCUGUUGCUCCAUGGCUGCUAUAUGUAUGUAGUCACUGUGCAGCCUGCUGACGAAGACCCUUUUGAGGACUUCUUUGGGAAUCGAAGGGGUCCCCGAGGAAGCAGAAGCCGAGGGACGGGGUCAUUUUUCUCCGCGUUCAGUGGAUUUCCGUCUUUUGGAAGUGGAUUUUCUUCUUUUGAUACAGGAUUUACUUCAUUUGGGUCACUAGGUCAUGGGGGCCUCACUUCAUUCUCUUCCACGUCAUUUGGUGGUAGUGGCAUGGGCAACUUCAAAUCGAUAUCAACUUCAACUAAAAUGGUUA